rfam:Picea glauca, whole genome shotgun sequence.
ACAUGCCUACAACAUAGCAUUAAUGCAUCGGAUCCCAUUACAACUCUAGAGUUAAGAGUGCUUGGGAUAUAUUAGUAUGAGAAUGGGUGACCACCUAGGAAGUCCUACUAUUUUACAUGCC